rnacentral:rRNA from 1 species
UUACGGGAGGCAGCAAGCGGGAAUAUUGCACAACGGGCGCAAGCCAGGUGCAGCAAUGCCGCGUGAGGGAUGAAGGCCUUCGGGUCGUAAACCUCUGUCAGCAGGAACGAUAAUGACGGUACCUGUUGAGGAAGCUCCGGCUAACUCCGUGCCAGCAGCCGCGGUAAGACGGAGGGAGCAAGCGUUGUCCGGAUUUACUGGGCGUAAAGCGCGCGUAGGCGGCCUAUUAAGUCGGUUGUGAAAGCGCUGGGCUUAACCCAGCAACUGCAGUCGAUACUGGUAGGCUCGAGUUCGGGAGAGGGAAGCGGAAUUCCUGGUGUAGCGGUGGAAUGCGUAGAUAUCAGGAAGAACACCGGUGGCGAAGGCGGCUUCCUGGACCGAUACUGACGCUGAGGCGCGAAAGCUAGGGGAGCGAACGGGAUUAGAUACCCCGGUAGC